AGUGUUGAAUGAUAUUGGUUUGCAAAGUCAAUUUUGCUUUUUAGCUCAAUGCUU
rnacentral:tRNA from 1 species